CACAGUACCCCUGGAUUGACCGAGCACAGGGAGCCUCCAGGAUCUCUUCCCAAGUUAAUUCCCAGGCCCUGUUCCAGUGCAUUUCUCAGCCCCAGAGCAGCCAGGCACUUGCAGAAGUAGCUGCUUUUGCUGUUGCCCAGUGAGGCCAAAUGGUAUUGCCCUGUGGCCAGAUUUGUCUACCACACAGUCACAUGGACCACACCAACCUGAGGCUUCUUUUAAGAGAGUGGCAUUUUUAUUUCAUAUCUAGUAUCCUUAAGAUACUAUAUUAAUUCUUUCCCCCAGAAAUGCACAGAGAGGCUGCAAAUCCAAAUUUUUCCCGUUGGGGGCCUAAAUCAAGGCUUACAGAGAAUCCAGCCAGUUUGCAAAUUAUGCAAAUUCAUGUUUCAUUAGUUUGAGUUUUUUGUUUGUUUUUAUUUACUGAUAUUUCUGUUUUCUACCAAAUAAUAUCUCGAGGCAGCCCAAGGUUACUGCUAUGACUUGUAUCUUUCUCAAGUACGUGUGAAGAUGAAGAAUUUUAGAAACAGCACAGGAAGUCUGAAAUCACUGAUCUACAGUGUGUAGAACCUCAUCUUGUCAGGGAAGGACUGACUGUGUUAAGCACUUGAGCUGCAGUAGCCCAGGCUCCAGAGGGAAGGCAGGUGAUAGAUGAGCACUCUCAUGACAAAGCAUUUCUGAUGUGUAGCCUGUUCUGCUUUAGCCUUAUUGAAGAAAUGGCAGAAAAUAGAAUUAUUGUAUUUUUUCUUGAAUCCUGCUAUUACAAUUUUAGAUCUAAAUCUGCAAAGACGAGGAAGAAAAGCAAAUGAAGUGGCAGGUGAAUUCACCACCAUAUGGGAUUUUUCAGAUUCAGCAAUACAUGAUUUGAACUAUUCCAUUUGAUUUUCAGGCUUUCCAUUGCCUGAAAUGUAUUUUUUCAGUGCCAUUAACUGUGGGUUUCUAAAACAGACAGCACAGGAGUGAGGUGCAUUUCACUGCUGUUGGAUGAUUUUCAUCUUAACCACUAAAAGAAGGAGAAAUGGUUGAACAGAGUAGUUAAAGAAAACAGAUUGAUCUGCAUGAAUGAAAUGAAGGGGUUGUUUUUUUGCUUAUUUUGGGGAGUUUCAUUGGUAUAAAAUGAGCAAGAAGGUCAAGAGACAGGAGGAAGUCAGAGGGGAAUGGUGCAUUGAGUUAUCAGGGGUGGGAGUUACUGAGCUUUGCCUAAGGGGAGGAUCACACAGCUCUGUAAUUAGAACCAUCUCGAGGCAAAAACAGCUGCUGAGUUAUUAUCCAUGGCCUUCUUCCCAAAAUAAAAAAACUAUUUGGUACCUUUUCUUCCUAUGAGGUCCAGAACUACUUCAUUAGAAAACAGUUUUGUUAAUUUAAAAAAGAAAUCAGAAUGCUUAGUAUUUUCCUUGAGAAUAUGACUUUUAGUGGGAGCACCUCAUGUUCUGGGAACAGCUGUGGUAGGAUUUCACCACCUGAGCAUUGUAUUACUGUGACUAAAUUACUGGUUGAUUUCCUCUCCUGUAAUUUAUUUCUCCUGUUCAUUAUUUCCUGUUGCCUUUUACUCAAAGGCUGAUCUUUCAAGUACUUCCAGCUGAAGCUGUAGUUUGCUUCAUGUGCAUCUACUAUUAUUUGAGUCACUCCUGAAAAUACUUUCAAGUCCCUGGUUUUGAAGUGACUUUGGGCAGGUACUGAUGGGCAGUGGUGUUCAGGACUAACUUGUUGUGUUGCUGAUUGCAGCCUCAUAGUUCCUGCUACACUUUAGGCCUCAGGUGAGGGAUGUUAACCUGUAACUCUGCAAGUUUACAGGCUGCAGAACAAGCAAGUCUUGCUGGCAGUUGUUUCAAGCUACAUACAAGAUGUAUGUAAUGGCGUGUAUAUAAAACAUAUCAGUGUGCUUAUGGGUCUGCAUUUUACUGCAUUAUAGAUAAUCCCUGGCACUCCUCUGUGGGCUCUGGUAGAAUGUGGCCAAGUCUAAAGCAGAGGACAAGGGCAAAGUCAUGAACAACUCAGCCAUAUAAAAGUGGUUACAAGCAGGUAGCGUAAUGUCAUUUGAAUGUCAUAGUGUCGCUUCCUUAAUCUGUUUAGUUUGAAAUUGUAUCAAGACAAUUCACUAUCUAUCAGUAAGGUAAUAUUUCAUGGUUAAGGAACAUUUCUCCCUAUAAAGUUGUCAGAUUUCCUCUUUAUAUAGAUGUAAACUCAGAGCUGAAAAUCCUGAAACAGCUGAAGCUAUUUAUGAAGCUGUAAUUUAUGUGCAUUGAUAUAAAGAGAUAAAUUUGACUAUGUUUAUGUUUUAAGGUAAAUUCUGAUUAAGUAGUUGCACAGCUUUUGGGAAAAGCCAAUGGAGAAAACUAUGUUAACAGUAUAGUCUCUUAUUAUUUCAGAAAUCAUUCACAUAGAGAAAGAAAAUCUGCCACUGCUUAGUGAAUUUUAUAGAGACACUGUCUAGUCUAACAGCAAAAGCUGAUAUUUUAUAUUAUUUUCCUUACUCUGUAUUACAAAAAUUCUUGCAAGGUAAUUAGUCUCCAGUGCUUUUCUUUUUAGUCAAGCACUAAGUUGACUUUUUUUUUUCCCUUUGCCACAGUGGUAUCUAAGUUGUCAUGACAAGAAUAAGUCAGUGUGUCAUUGUGAAUGCACUUGUAUUCCUAAUGAGUUUUGUAUUGCAAGACAAGGACUUUGUACAAUCUUUCUGGUCAUUUUUAUAAUAGAGUGGAGUGAUCAAAUUCUUACAAUGAUGUUCUGGAUUGGUCCUGUUCUGGUGAAGUGUAAGUGAUUUUUGCAAUGUUUGAGACUGACUUGCACAUUUUCCCUGAAUAGCUGUAUUAAAAACCACCAAUGGCAUAUUUAUGUCAA